UCCUGGUUAACCCAGGCAGUCUCACUAGAGUUCCCACCAUUACGUGCUGGCAACUAGUGAUAAGGGUUGCGCUCGUUGCGGGACUUAACCCAACACCUCACGGCACGAGCUGACGACAGCCAUGCAGCACCUGUGUACCUGUCCUUUCGGAAGAUGACAUUUCUGUCACUGUCAAGUACAUGUCAAACCUGGGUAAGGUUCUUCGCGUUGCAUCGAAUUAAACCACAUGCUCCACUGCUUGUGCGGGCCCCCGUCAAUUCUUUUGAGUUUCACCCUUGCGAGCGUACUCCUCAGGCGGUACACUUAUCGCGUUAGCUACGACACAAUUGGGGUUGAGACCAAUUACAUCAAGUGUACAUCGUUUACAGCAAGGACUAC
rnacentral:misc_RNA from 1 species